CCUCCCAGAAACCUAUGGAGAGCUGAAGGGGUUUUAGGAUUGUGGAAUCCACCCUCCUCGUUUGGUAAAAGAGGACAAAGGCCACAGAGCAGUGCGCUGGCUGAGGCAUGCGAUUGUAAACCAAAAGCUCAGUUUCCAUUUGGAAUGGCUUCCGGAAGGCUGGAAUUGAAAUCCACCAGUGCCCAUUUCAAGGUGCUCCCAACACAGCCUGGAAAAAAGGAGCCCAGAUACGCUUCCCUGUGGACGCAGGACGCCAGGCACAGCAGCAGCAUCAAGGGACCAGCAGGGAAGAGGCUGCAGUGAUUUGGGGAAACAGUGUGAAAAUCACCUGGGGCCUGGCGACACGGGGUCCCGCCUCCUCCCCCAUAUUAGGUCCCAGAGAAAAUGACAAUAUGAACAGCUCAUGUCACCAUUAUUAGGCAGAGUCUUUAUUCUUUCCUUAAUCUUUGCCAUUAAAUUGAGCUCUAUAGGACCAUUUUCUGCUUUUAAUGCCAAUAAAUGAAAUUCCAG
rnacentral:lncRNA from 10 species